AGUCUAUCUUAAAUUACCCUUAUUAUCAUCAGUAAUGUCACUUGCAUAACUUAACGGACUUAAAUUUGUAAAGUUCUUGUUUCAUUAGGGUAUUUUUAAAAACACUGGGCAGAUACUUUCUAAUUAAAGAGGCACACGAUUAACUACAAAUAAUAUGCUGCUUUCAACAUAGUGCUGCCUCACAACUAACGUAGUAAGUAAAACAAAGCCUAAAAGGGCCAGGGAUUUGGCUCAGUGGUUCCGCCCCCUGCCUCGAAAGGACCCUGAGUUCGAUCCCCGGUACCAAAAAAAGACACCUAAAAAUCCAUAAAGUACUAAUGAUUACAUAAGCACAACUCAGGUGGCACUAUAUUAAGAAUCAAUACGCAGUCUUCACCGCACCUUCGGUGCUUGGUAGAGUAAAAAGCAGACGUCUAUCAAUAAAUAUCGGGGCAAAGACACACGUACGUACACAGGGGGACACGGAUCACACCACACUUCGCUCUUCCCCAGCAGGCGCCCUGGAACACGCGCGCCCAGCGUGCCCAGCUCCCGAGGGCCCGGCUCACGGUCACACUGCGUGCUCGUGGGCGCUACUCUGGGAUCCCAAAGUCUUGCUCUGCCUCUCUAGAGCCCAAAGCAACGUUAAAACAAAGAGAAAAAUACUGCACGAGGAUCCAGACUGUAUUCAGAGCAGAUGAGGCUCAGAGAGGCAGCCCGUUCCGAGAUCCACUUCCUACACACCAGUUUGCCCGCGGAGAGACUGAUUCUGCCCCCUCGCAAGUCCUGCUCCCGGAAGAGGUUCUGGC
rnacentral:lncRNA from 1 species